GGGCCGGUGAGCCCAACUUCGAUGGCCUGGAGAGUAAUCCAUACAGAAGCCGGAAGCAGCGCCAGGAGUGGGAGGUGAAGGCCCUGCUAGAGAAGGUACCUGCAGAGCUUAUUUGUCUGGACCCACGAGCCCUGGCCGAGGUGGAUGUCAUCUCCCUGGAGCAGGGAAAGAAGGAGCAGAUAGAGAGGCUGCAGCAUCAUAAGGAGGCGAAGGCCAAGCCCACGGGGGCCCGGCCAUCUGCCCUGGACAGAUUUGUGCGCUGAGCCAGACUCCAGGGUUGCCUGGGAACAGUCUCUCCCCAAGAUCACCUGUAGGGAAAUGAGUGUUCCCUGGAACAAGGAGGUGGGGGCAGUGUGGCCCCUUCCCCAACUGGGGGUGGACAGCUGUCUCCUGGGGUGGGUUGGUAUUAAAGAGGAAAGCGAUUUUUUGGA
rnacentral:misc_RNA from 1 species